UACGUAGGGGGCAAGCGUUGUCCGGAAUCAUUGGGCGUAAAGAGCGCGUAGGCGGCCCUGUAAGUCCGCUGUGAAAGUCAAGGGCUCAACCCUUGAAUGCCGGUGGAUACUGCAGGGCUAGAGUCCGGAAGAGGAGAGUGGAAUUCCUGGUGUAGCGGUGAAAUGCGCAGAUAUCAGGAGGAACACCCGUGGCGAAAGCGGCUCUCUGGGACGGUACUGACGCUGAGACGCGAAAGCGUGGGGAGCAAACAGG
rnacentral:rRNA from 1 species